GCGCGGCAGGGGCGUGGUCUCACGCGCACCUCCCGGGCAGCGUUUUGAUUCAUUGUUAAAAUAGAGACUGAGACCCUGGCACGAGCACCUCCAUCGCCCGGGAAGAUUUCUGCCGGUUGGUUGGGGUCGUGGAGGAAACUGGAGUCACAGGAGCACAUGAACAGUCCUUGUCUCGCCCCCUGGAAAAGGAGCCACGUUCUCCACCCAAGACGAUGCUCCUCUUGGUGGCUGGACCAGGAAAGAGCAGCCCAGGCCCCACCUAGAGAGCCAGCCACUGGGUCACAGGAAGUGCCUGGUGUGACUCACCUGCUAUGGAGGACGUGGCUAUGAAUGUCCCAGGUGUCCAUUUUGAAGCCAUCGUCUCUCCCAAGAGCCACUGUCUGAGCUGCUGUCACCCUGGGGAGCUCCAUGGAGCAGGACACCAGGUAGGCUGGUGUUCUUUGGUGGUAGGUGGUGUGGAAU